GGCGGGUUAGCGUAAUGGUUAACGCGUCAGUUUCCGGUUCUAUUACAACCAGCUGAAGAUUCCGGGUUCGAGUCCCGGGCCUGUCG